ACGGGAGGCAGCAGUGGGGAAUAUUGGGCAAUGGGGGCAACCCUGACCCAGCAACGCCGCGUGAAGGAAGAAGGCUUUCGGGUUGUAAACUUCUUUGACGAGAGACGAUAAUGACGGUACCUCGAAAACAAGCCACGGCUAACUACGUGCCAGCAGCCGCGGUAAUACGUAGGUGGCGAGCGUUAUCCGGAUUUACUGGGUGUAAAGGGCGCGUAGGCGGGGAUGCAAGUCAGAUGUGAAAUCUAUGGGCUUAACUCAUAAACUGCAUUUGAAACUGUAUCUCUUGAGUGUCGGAGAGGUAGAUGGAAUUCCUAGUGUAGCGGUGAAAUGCGUAGAUAUUAGGAGGAACACCAGUGGCGAAGGCGAUCUACUGGACGAUAACUGACGCUGAGGCGCGAAAGCGUGGGGAGCAAACAGGAUUAGAUACCCUGGUA
rnacentral:rRNA from 1 species